AACGAACGCUGGCGGCAGGCCUAAAACAUGCAAGUCGAACGCCCUAGCAAUAGGGAGUGGCGCACGGGUGAGUAACGCGUGGGAACGUGCCCUUCAGUACGGAACAACGUCUGGAAACUGACGCUAAUACCGUAUAAUAUCUCCGGAUCAAAGAUUUAUCGCUGAAGGAUCGGCCCGCGUCUGAUUAGCUGGUUGGUGAGGUCAUGGCUCACCAAGGCUACGAUCAGUAGCUGGUCUGAGAGGAUGAUCAGCCACACUGGGACUGGUACACGGCCCCGACUCCUACGGGAGGCAGCAGGUAGGAAUAUUGGACAAGGGGCGAAAGCCUGAUCCAGCCAUGCCGCGUGUGUGAUGAAGGCCUUAGUGUUGUAAAGCACUUUCGUUGGGGAUGAUAAUGACCGUACCCAAAGAAGAAGCCACGGCUAAAUUCGUGCCAGCAGCCGCCGUAA
rnacentral:rRNA from 1 species